rnacentral:rRNA from 1 species
CACAGCCUCAGUUCAGAUUGUAGGCUGAAACUCGCCUAUAUGAAGUCGGAAUUGCUAGUAAUCGCGGAUCAGCAUGCCGCGGUGAAUACGUUCCCGGGCCUUGUACACACCGCCCGUCACACCAUGAGAGUCGAUAACACCCGAAGCCUGUAGUCUAACAGCAAUGAGGACGCAGUCGAAGGUGGGAUUGAUAAUUAGGGUGAAGUCGUAACAAGGUAGC